GCGCACGGGUGAGUAACGCGUGGGUAAUCUACCCUUGGAUUUGGGAUAACUCCGCGAAAGUGGAGCUAAUACCGGAUAGUCUGGCUUUAAAUAAGAAGUCGGUAAAGGAUGCCUCUGCAUAUGCAUUCGUCCGAGGAUGAGCCCGCGUCUCAUUAGCUAGUUGGUAGGGUAAUGGCCUACCAAGGCAACGAUGAGUAGCUGGUCUGAGAGGAUGAUCAGCCACACUGGAACUGAAACACGGUCCAGACUCCUACGGGAGGCAGCAGUGGGGAAUAUUGCGCAAUGGGCGAAAGCCUGACGCAGCAACGCCGUGUGAGGGAUGAAGGCUUUCGGGUCGUAAACCUCUGUCGGAAGGGAAGAACGGGCAUUGGUCUAAUAGGCCUUUGUUUUGACGGUACCUUUAGAGGAAGCACCGGCUAACUCCGUGCCAGCAGCCGCGGUAAUACGGAGGGUGCAAGCGUUAUUCGGAAUUACUGGGCGUAAAGCGCACGUAGGCGGCCUUGUAAGUCAGGGGUGAAAUCCCACGGCUCAACCGUGGAACUGCCUUUGAAACUGCAGGGCUUGAAUCCUGGAGAGGGUGGCGGAAUUCCUGGUGUAGGAGUGAAAUCCGUAGAUAUCAGGAGGAACACCGGUGGCGAAGGCGGCCACCUGGACAGGUAUUGACGCUGAGGUGCGAAA
rnacentral:rRNA from 1 species